AAUCUAGCAGCAACAUCUCUCCACAGACUAGACUACUGGAACCAAUGUGUGGAAGUGCUUCUGCUGUAUU
rnacentral:pre_miRNA from 1 species